GAUGAACGCUGGCGGCGUGCCUAAUACAUGCAAGUCGAGCGAACGGACGAGAAGCUUGCUUCUCUGAUGUUAGCGGCGGACGGGUGAGUAACACGUGGAUAACCUACCUAUAAGACUGGGAUAACUUCGGGAAACCGGAGCUAAUACCGGAUAAUAUUUUGAACCGCAUGGUUCAAAAGUGAAAGACGGUCUUGCUGUCACUUAUAGAUGGAUCCGCGCUGCAUUAGCUAGUUGGUAAGGUAACGGCUUACCAAGGCAACGAUGCAUAGCCGACCUGAGAGGGUGAUCGGCCACACUGGAACGGAGACACGGUCCAGACUCCUACGGGAGGCAGCAGUAGGGAAUCUUCCGCAAUGGGCGAAAGCCUGACGGAGCAACGCCGCGUGAGUGAUGAAGGUUUUCGGAUCGUAAAACUCUGUUAUUAGGGAAGAACAUAUGUGUAAGUAACUGUGCACAUCUUGACGGUACCUAAUCAGAAAGCCACGGCUAACUACGUG
rnacentral:rRNA from 1 species